GGCUGGCCUGAGUGUAGUGGUGUUUACAACUAAUUGAUCACAGCCAGUUACAGAUUUGUUUCUUCUCCGCUCCCAUUGCUUCACUUGACUGGCCUAAA
rnacentral:Y_RNA from 1 species